rnacentral:rRNA from 1 species
AACGAACGCUGGCGGCAGGCUUAACACAUGCAAGUCGAGCGCCCCGCAAGGGGAGCGGCAGACGGGUGAGUAACGCGUGGGAAUCUACCCAUUUCUACGGAAUAACGCAUGGAAGCGUGUGCUUAUAACGUAUACGUCCUUCGGGAGAAAGAUUAUCGGAGGUGGAUGAGCCCGCGUUGGAUUAGCUAGUUGGUGGGGUAAAGGCCUACCAAGGCGACGAUCCAUAGCUGGUCUGAGAGGAUGAUCAGACACACUGGGACUGAGACACGGCCCAGACUCCUACGGGAGGCAGCAGUGGGGAAUAUUGGACAAUGGGCGCAAGCCUGAUCCAGCCAUGCCGCGUGAGUGAUGAAGGCCCUAGGGUUGUAAAGCUCUUUCACCGGUGAAGAUAAUGACGGUAACCGGAGAAGAAGCCCCGGCUAACUUCGUGCCAGCCGCCGCCGUAAAAC